UUUCUAUUAUGUUGUAUGACACUUUUAAUUUAAAAAAAAAAAAAAACUAUGCAAGUAUUCCCUCCGUCCUAUUGCAAAUGUCCCACUUUUCAUAAUGGGAUGUCUCAUUACAAAUAUCUCAUUCAUUUUUUUGCAAUAUAUUUUCUCUAUGUACCUAAUAUUUAAACAAUUUUUACUAAUCAUCUUUAUUUACUUUCUACAUAUUUUUUAAUUUUUG
rnacentral:lncRNA from 1 species